GAGGGUAUAUCUCAAAUGGUAGAGCACAUGCUUAGCAUGCACAAGGUCCUGGGUUCAAUCCCCAGUACCUCCA
rnacentral:tRNA from 1 species